ACGUGAUUUAUGUCAACUGCAUGUCUCGUGAUUUUUGGAGACCUUCCCAAAUAAUAACGGUAACUUCAUUUUAAAGGAACUUCAUCAUUAUGGGUUCUGAUUGCAGAGCGACUAUGACUAUAUAAUGCUGUAUGGAAUCCUCUUCCAUCUAGAAGGAGAGAGCCAGAGUAACAGGUGUGCAGACAUUGUAGCUGACCACCUUCUUGAUGGAGACUCUGUGGAUUGGACUUAGGGAAGGCGAGAACAGUGAUAUAAGGAGCCCUCUUGUGCACCACUUCAAAUCCUUUUAGCUCUUACUCCAGCCACUGCUUUGGUAACCAGCUUUGCACAGACGUCAACCAGUUCUUUGCCUGUACAACAUGACAGUGCCUUGUCUUGGGCCCAGUGCUACAUAUGUCUUAGUCUGUCCUUGAUGCUGUUGGCACGUACACAGGUGUAACCCAAAAUACAGGGAGGUUUAAGGUUUGUGGGGUAUUCUUACAGUCUAAGGCUCAGAUCAAUGGAGGAUGCAAGCCAAAGGAUAAAUCGUUCCUCUUUCAUCCCCCAAGCACACAGCUCUGAGAUGCAUGCAUGAGACUUACUAGAAAGUCCUCUAGUUUGAGCACCCGUCGCAGAUAGCCUGGCCAACUCACGAACACAGCCAUCCUUCCCUGUUUCAUUUCCUUGUUCUUCACUCUUGCUCCCAGAGACACAUUCCCAAAUAAACUGCCCACGUGAAAGCCUUUGUCUCAGUCUCUGUUUUGGAGGAAACUAAGAUAAGAUGCAUGGCCACACCUAAUAACUGCAGAAGAGGCUGGAGAAAUCACAUCACAGGGCAGCUAUAUGUCCAGUUUCCAUUACUACGGAAGACGAGGGAGCAGAUUUGGUGGCCAGCUAGCAGUCUCCACUCCAGCAGGAAAGUGCUGAAACAUUUGACAGACGCCCCAGCCAAAGAGUUAAAAAUAAUAGAAGUUUUGAUGCUUAAAAGGAUAAGUAGUACAACUACCAUUGUCCAAAGAGAAGAGGACAUUUCCUUGGCUGUGACCAGCAGAGUGGAGAGAGAAGAGGAGAAUGCCAAGGGUCAGAUGGCUGGAAUGUGACCACACUUAGCUACCAGGAAGGAAAGGAUGAGCCAUUAAAGGAGAAAAAC
rnacentral:lncRNA from 1 species